rnacentral:lncRNA from 1 species
AAUAUCACUAAAUUGCUUUAUCAAAUCUUGAGCUCCAAGUUCUAUUAAAAUUCGCAAAGAGCUUCAAGUCUUGUGAUGGACAGUGUCCGAUGGUGGACAUAAUUUGUCAUAUUUUGGCUCAAAUUCCCGAAGGCCACUAAAAACCUACAACAAACAAGAUUGAUGACGGUGCCUAAUGUUGCAUACUAUUUGAAGCUCACCAAUCGUGCUAGUGCAACUCUUCACUUUGCAGGUCCAAUCGCUUGCUAGCAACGACUCCAACUUUAGAGAUACCAGCUCGCACCUAGUCACCUCCUCCUUACUGUUGUUUGCACGAUUGCAGGAUGAUACAUGGUCCUCCA